GUUGUUUCCAUACUCAUUUAGCUAGUUGGCACAUGAGAUGAUUCGACUUCCCUUUUCAACUUUCACUUCCCCAAUAUUGCGUUUUUCGCAUGAAUAUAUGGCAUGUGAUUUCUUGUUAGUUGGACAUGCAUCUUCUCAAUUGAAGGGCAUGAGAGUUAUCAGUUACAGAUAACUAUUAUAAAUGUGAACUGCUUAUCUUGCUUCUCAUGAAUUGAUCGAUUUUAUGGUUUUUGACCAAUUAUAGCUUAUAUGGUAUAGAAGGGGUGGAACAAGUUUUUUUUUUUUUUUUUAUAAUUGCCAAGUACUCUAUAGUGUUUAGUUCCUUUUUGGUGUACUUAUGAGGUCCCUAUUGGUAUGGAGGAUUGGAUCUCUUUUGUUGAGAACCAUAUUAUGGUGUAGAUUCUCUUCUUUUUGGUAUAAUGUUGUAUACAGGGUUUCCCCAAUUGUUAAUAAUAUACUUUACCUUAGCGGGAAAAAAAAGGUAUAGAAGACCCACAAGAAACUCAAGAAUUGAUACGUUCAAAUUGAACUUACCCAGAUAACUUAAGUCUUCUUGUAAAUGGAAAAUAAGCAACAAAAAACAGGAAAAGGCUCAAAAAGUUAUAAAACUAAAGAUUGUCAUGUUCAGGCGCCUUACACCUGCGAUGUUGUAUGCGAGAUACUUAGUGGGAGGGUGCAGUGGCUGAUACUCUAAACGAGGGCAACAGGUUUCAGCUCUUUUGGUCCAUAAAGUCAGUAUUGACAGUAUGACAAACUUAACCGUGUCUUGGAGUAAUUGCAUUUGGUCAUCUUGUGCCAUACUGUAAAGCCACUUCUGCAAUGUA